rnacentral:lncRNA from 1 species
GAAUGAGAUCAUAGGUAUCAAUGUGAAAGUUGUGAAAACAAUCUUUGAAUCAAGAAUAGCUAUCAUGGUAGCAUUUAUUCUCUUUCUUACAAAUGAAGGGUUAAACUUUAGUCAACAUGCCACAUUCAACCAAUUUGUUUUGAAUCAAGGUUAUAAUGGUAAGAUGAGCAUCGAUAUUAAGAUCAUUUAUUGGCUGAGUUGUGCAACAACAAUUUUAUAAUCUUUCACAUACUCCAACACAAUGAAUAAAAUAGUAAUAAUUCAACCAAUUUGUUCCCAAUUUUCACCAAACAUAUUAUGCAAUCAGUUCAUGUAUCAAUUUAAAGAUAGUCUCAAUCAUAGAACUAACUUAUCUCACAUUGACAAAGUCACAUGCCAAAUCUCAAGCCAUGACUAACGCGGCUAACAAAAUAUCGGAAUUCCACACCAUAAUGCGUUAAUGGCAAACCAACCAAUCAAGUUUAUAAUUAUCAACCUUUCCCGUCAAUUUUUUCAUCAGACGAAGAAACUCAGUUGGGAAAGCAUUUAUAUUAAAUGAAUUCAAAAAUUUCAUUCCAUAAUUUCAUUCAUAUUCACCCACCAUUCUCAUUAUAAUGGCAAACCAUAAUCACGGUUUAUAAUUUCAUUCCCCUUCAACAAAUCACCAUAUCUUCCUUAAAUAUUAACAUUUCCAACCACAUUUAUCGUUGGCCAUAACAUUUUAAAAUUUCUAUCCACAUUUGUCGUUGACAGAAUAAUGAUUUCACCAUCAUUUUCUUUUAUUUCAAUCUAUGACUAGUAGGCUGGAAAAGAUUGUAAUAUACCUGACCAAUACACAUCACACUUUCUUUUUCUUUUCUUCUUCUUCUCAUUCUUCUUCUUGUUUUUUUUUUCACAUCUACGGGCCUUUUCCACCCAUUUUCACAUCCACAGGCCUUUCUCGUCCAAUCUCACAUAUCCACCCUUAUAUCCAUGGGCCUUUUUGCCCAAUUCAAUUUCACAAGUGUCAGGUAUAAUACAAAUUCUCCAUCUACUUAUCACCACCUCACAAUCACCUUAACAUUCAACAUUUUCAUAAUACAUAGAAAAUAACUAAAUAGGCAAUGACGUGACUCCCCAACGCGGAUUAACCAAGCAGAGUCACCCUACAGCUGAUAGGAAGGGAUCACCCGAUGCGGAUUAACCAAGCAUGAUCACUCCUAAGCAUACAUGGUCAUAAGGAUCGCCUAACGCGGAUUAACCAAGCACAAUCCAUAUAUAGUAUGGUCCCCCAAUGCAGAUUAACCAAGCAGGACCACUAAUGACCCCUAUCGCGGAUAUACCAAGUAGGGUCAUGGUCUCCUACUAGCCCUCAAUUUAACAACCAUUCCAAUAUGCAAUUCAAUUCACUUUUCCAAAAAUAUUAUCAAUCCAAUUUACUUCACUUCAUGAUGAUUCACAACAUAAAUAUACUUCUCACAUAACUUUCUUAUUACUCAAAGAACUUAGGGAAUAAUACAAUACCAAUGCAAAUUAUAAUUUCCAUUAAUGAGGUUUUUCAUAAUCACCAUGGAAAUUUCACCACAAACACAAUGCAAUUCAAUUAUGUAUCUCAAAUAUAUAUGUGUCCAUCUAUCACAUGAAUGCAUCUUUAUGCCCAAAAAUUAUGAAAUCAUGCAACCACAAUGCAUAUCGUAAUUCAUGCCAACAAGACUCAAGAUGGUUGCAUAUCAUAGAGUAGGAUCAUUUGCUCUGAUACCAUUACAGUUGUCACGAUGCGAACCCAACAUACGUCCAGGAUCGACGCGUGACAUCACCCGACAUCCACAUAUCUAACAGAUCCCGCCACCGAGAUAUGUACAAGGCAUAACUCAAGAUCCAACUGUAUAAUAAUUUUUCGUAAGCUUUAUGGUUGCAUCUAACCUCCUCGUUAGACUGCCUAUGUACCCUAAACAGGUAUCAAGCCAUUUGUAGUUCAUCAUUCACUACCCAUCUACAUUUACCACAGUACGUUCAAGUUGAAAGAUAUAACAUUCUUCAAUCAAUAUUAGAACUUGACAAGUAUGGAAGUUGGGCUACAUAACAAUCCAAUAUGACAAACAACAUUUCCACUUCCUCCAUCAUAUAAAUCACUAUGAUUUCAACAGGAAACCUUAAUCCACCACAUGUAACAUAUCCAAGAACCAACAAGGCACAAUAUUAUUCUGAAGCCACUUUGAGCAACGAGACUAAUCAUAAUAAUAACAACCAUAUCCCACAUCAUUCCGCAAUCAUUCUACUUAAUCAAUCCUAAAAAUCAAAGAUGCAUGAUAUCUACAAUUACUAUGUUAUUUAAUCAAUAAGGUCCUAUAUCAAUUCACAAAUUUUAAUAAAGGAUCCCUACAUAAUUCCCCACCUGGAUUCCAAGUACUAACAUGAUAAGUCUAAUUUACACACAAUGUCCACUGUGAACGAUUCAUAUUCACUCGACUCUAAGGUCGGACUACCUUUAUGGAAAUGAGCAAGCGUAGGGAUUCCAGACCACUCAACAGAAUCCAACCAAAAUACCAAGCGACCUCUUGUAAUCUCUUCAGACCUGACAUCUGUACAAUAAGUGCCUACACCAUAGGAAUGGUGCAUCGGCAUCAAGAAUUCAGAUAAGGUGCAAAGCUCGGGUGAGUGACAAUAAUACAAGGAUGUGAUAAUAAUGAUAAAGCCAACCAUUAAUCACAGUUUACAUCUCUUAAAUAUAAAUCCUUCAUAAGGAAUCAAUAGUAAACCUUUAUAACUCUGAAUGAGUCACCCAGACAUACAACGGUUUAUCUGAAACAAAUCACAACAACUCACAAUCAUAAUCUCAUACAACACAAUGAAAAGUAGGGUUAGAGCGACACAGUUCAGCCGAAGUCUACAUCUCUGAAGAUAUCUCAAUCCAAAUUCAAUAAAUCCCAAGGUGAACACGAUCACGGACCAUCUUUCAACGGAAUCAUGAAGUAUGAGGGAUUAUGGACCCUCUUAAUGGGAUCCAAGUGGGUACGAUUCCAGACUAUCACUCAACAGAAUCGCGGAGUACAAUGCAUAAUCACCACUAAAUGAAACCCAAGUUAGAUAGGAUUCCGGAACAUCACUCAACGGAAUCGUCGAGUAGAAGGGAUUCUAGACCAUCUCUCAACGGAAUCCGAGUAGAUACGAUUCCAAACCAUCACUCAAUGGAAUCGCGGAGUAGAAGGGAUUCUGGACCAUCACUUAAUGAAAUCCAGACCAGGAUACAAUUCCGGACCAUCACUCAACGAAAUCAUGGAGUAGAAUGUGUAACAUCAAUCAAUGAAACAAGACAUGGAUCAAGUUCUCCAAGGUACAAAGACUCAAUGUAACGAGAAUGAAAUAAUGACACGAGGGUUGAAACAUGUUUCGAAGUAACAAACCCCAUAACAAUGGGUUAAUGGUCCACUACUAGCCCUCAU